rnacentral:rRNA from 1 species
GACGAACGCUGGCGGCGUGCUUAACACAUGCAAGUCGAACGGAAAGGCCCUGCUUUUGUGGGGUGCUCGAGUGGCGAACGGGUGAGUAACACGUGAGUAACCGGCCUUGGACUUGGGGUAAACUUAGGGAACCGGGGGCAAUAACGGGAAGGGAGCUCUGGUGCCUGGUGGGGGGUGGAAAGGUUCGGCGGUUGGGGGUGGACUCGCGGCUUAUCAGCUUGUUGGUGGGGUAGUGGCUUACCAAGGCUUUGACGGGUAGCCGGCCUGAGAGGGUGACCGGCCACAUUGGGACUGAGAUACGGCCCAGACUCCUACGGGAGGCAGCAGUGGGGAAUAUUGCACAAUGGGCGGAAGCCUGAUGCAGCAACGCCGCGUGCGGGAUGACGGCCUUCGGGUUGUAAACCGCUUUCGCCUGUGACGAAGCGUGAGUGACGGUAAUGGGUAAAGAAGCACCGGCUAACUACGUG